UUGAGGAAUGAUGAGCACACCAUGCCCUUGGAUACUGUUGGAGAAAUGAUAUUUGGGUUCAGUGAAGAACCUAAUGGGAAUGAUUUCGCUGGUGUUCUCAGCAUGCACAAGUUUGUCAGCAUUGUCACUUGGUAAACACCUGUUGUCAUGUAUGCAAGGUGCAGUUAGUGCUUAUCGGCUUUUAUCAGCCGUGGAGGAACAAAGCUUGGUGUCUUGGAAUACCAUGAUCUCGGGUUUUCUGGCACACAGGGUUGUUCAUGAUAAACAGAAGGUUUCAAGCCUGAGUGCCGGACAGUUUUACAUGGAACCUGAUGAUUAAUGGGUCUGCAGACUGUGCACACCACGGGAGAUUGUCCAGGUCUUUUCAUCUUUUAGUAAGAUGCAAAUGGAGGGUUUUUCUUUUCCUCGAGAAACUGGCAGGAGAUCUGCCUUGAUUUAUAUUAAGAAGAAUAUCAACUGAGUUAAUUCUCGUCGGCAGAGAUUGGCAACUCCAUCUGUGUGAUGUUCUGAAUUGCCAUGAAGGCGAUUUGCAGUUGUCUUUCUGUUGCUGCUGAAAGAUUCUUCUGUUCCUCUCCAGCCAAAUAUUCUGAAAAAAAACAAUGACAAGUGUGCCGAAUGCUUGUUCAGCCUUAUCAAUUUUUUCGGCAAUGCUGGGAGUUCAAGUAUGAUGUUUUCCAAACAACAGCAAUUGACAUGAAAGUUGUUUCCAGGUUGCAACACUCAAGAGUAGGAAUGUGCAUGAAAGCCUGGUCAUUGCGGGGUGACAUUUGAUUUGAAUUUGCACCAUCCUUAUUCCCUCGCAAGUAAAGAUGGUGCCAUGGUACCAAACAUUACAGUUCCACAAUAUCAAGAACCUGAUAUUAGGUUGAUAUGCUGCGUACCUGUGUUAAACUCUCGUAGUGACCUUGUGCCAUCUCAGCAGAAUUAGUUUUGAGCUUGCAUUUUGCCGCAAAGCCAUGAUCAAGAUUGACCCUGUGGUCGACACGUGUCAAGUGGUGGGAGCAAAGAACCACAUGCACUGUGGAGGCCUAGAGGUUCGCACUGUGAGUGCCGCUUUAGGCAUCACUGAGAAUGCAAGCUGGAGAUGGAGAAGUUAAAAUCAAAUUUGUCAUCUUUUGCGAGCUGAUGGUCCCUUGUAUCAGUGGAGGAUGAGCCCACUGGUUUUGCUGGGAAUGUUCUUUUUGCAGAAUAUUUUAGUCUGCGCCGUAGCGUGUGAUCUGCUGAGUAGAAUAUACUGCUUGUACUACUUUUCUUAGCCACAGUAAUGAUAGAACUGUAAGGAUUUGGUGGAUUUACCUGUAGAAUUUCAUAGUAAUCGACAAAUGAUAUAAUCGGUAAUUAAAUGGCCUUCAAAAUCGAUAGUGU